UUCAUGUUUUUUGGGUAGUUGAUGCGAAAUGGGCUCUACCACCAAAGUUUUCUUAACUCAGGGCUGCUUAAACUAGUUGAUCAGUUCUCUCCAUAUUGAUUAGUGCAUAUAUGUGCAAUUUUUACACUGUGUAUGUGUUACUGUUGCUGCUGAAUUCAUAACUGAAUUGCUCUAGGUCCAGAAAGGCAUGCAAAACAAAACCUUUCAUCCACCUGAUGCUGGCUGCUCAGCAAGUCAAACAGAAAAAGAUCAAGGGUUGAAGAGGAGAAAGACUGUACUUAGGACCAGAUGGACUGAAGAUCAGUGUGGCAAGAAAGAUCAGGAAAAUUCUGUGACAGCUAUUUAGGAAACAUGAGCCUGGCAAAUGAAAGAGAUUUUUUAGGAAUAAAAUUCCUCUUAUUUUUCUCUACUUCUGUGGAAUUAAACCAGAUUGUAAUUAUGAUUUCUAGCCACAUAUCUUUAUCCAAAAAUUUGUGAUAAAUUGCUUUCUGACAAUUAAAAAUGUUUUAUUUAUAUGACUGCACAUCACUGCACAUAUUGCUGAUGACAUGAAUUUGUAAGAUAACUUUGUUUAAGAAGAAUUAAAAAACAAUUUAUUCUUAGUUUUCAUCCUGUCUAAUUGUACAUUAAAGGCACACGAUUUGCAGGCAUACUAUAUGAAUUGUUAUAUAUUCAUUCUUUUCAAUACUGUAGCACAAACUAUUACUUAUUUAUUCAAAAACACUUUUCGACUAUCAUUUUAGAAAUUUCUGAUGUUCUGAAGAUAGCUAAUAUCCAUUGCUUUAACCUUUAGUGGUUUUUUGUUUGUUUUUUGUUUGUUUUUUCUUUUACAGUACCUCUGUAUUUUGCUUUAUUAUCUUCUUGGUGUGAUGAAAUAACCAUGAGAUACCCAUGGAAACUGGCCAGGGAACAAGUGCUCUUACACAGGCCAGGGUUCAGAUUCAGACUCACAGAUAUUAGCUGGAAGCUUGUAAACAUUUCUCACUGUUUCUUGGCCAUAAAUGGUGGGAAAUAUCUUGAGAUUAGUCUUUCUUAUGGGGUGAUUGACUGUUUGGUCUGAAAUCCUGUUAGAGUAAUUCUUCUCACAUGAUUGCUGUCAUCUUCAGUGUAGAGAAGGAAAACGCAUAUCCGUUCCUAUCAUAGUCAUGGGGAUACAUUAGCUCAACAACCCCUUGCUGGUAUUUGGAACAGUUGGAUGGGGGGUUCAAUUUUCCCAUCUCUAAUUUAGGCUAAAUGAAAUCAAUCAAAAUUGUACUUUAUCUUUAGAAACAAGAAAAUUGGUAUGCCAUACAUACGAUAAAUUUUCCUUUUUGAUGUUUUUUUUAUUCCAGGUUGUAUGCAAAAUAUGAAAAGGAACAUUAGUUUAAAUUUGUUAGAUUAUAGGUGCCAGAAAGAUAAAGACAGUAAUGGGCUUAGUACUCUUUCAGUGAAUGUUCUUUAAAUUAGACAGCAUUCUUCUUUCUGAGUAAAUGGUGGCUGCCUAGAUGCAAAAUAUGAUUUCCAUAUUUGCGACUGUACAACUGGGAACUGAAAGGGCAGCAAGAUUAAUGAGAUUUAGAGAUUGUUUAUACUACCUAACUACUCUAACUCACAUUCCAUAAUAAAAAGAAAGGGGUGUUGAAAGACCAAAGCUAGUUUUUUCUGUCUGGUGUGUCCUGAGGUUGGUAUAGCACUUCAAUGGAGAACAAAAACCAAAUGUUGCUAAACAAAUUCAGAGGCUGUGACAAAGUCUUUGUUUUUACAUUCAAUAUACAUUUUACAGAGGUUCCUUUUUUUUUUUUUACCUUUUCUUAUAAAUUUUAAAUUCCCAUUUACUGGAAAUAAAUUAGAGAGAUGACUUCUCUUUAACAGUCCAUGACAGCAUAAAAACUGUUUCAGUUUUAUAGCUUCACAUCCCCAAGGAGCCUUGAGGCUGAGCAUUUAUAUUGCUUAACAGCAGGGUUUUUAGAUAACAUGAGACUACAUGGUAUCUCUAGGAUCACUAUGACUUUUCCUUAAGGAAAUAUAAUGGUAGUCUUGGCUAAUGUACUUAUAGUUGCCUUACUACAACAUAUUUAUUAUUUAAUAAGGUGAUUAAUGUUACAGUUUAAACCUGAAUGGGAUGUUUUAAAAUUACUUGAAAUAUUAUUUGUUUGAAUAUAUUAUAAGUAUGCCAUGUAUAAUAGUAUGUAUGUGUACAUGCAUAAAUACUUUCAAAAUUAGAAAAAGAAUCAACUGAUUAGCAGAAAUGCAUUUAAGAAGUAUUUUAUAAUGUUCGCUGAAAAUCUCUACUUCUCUUCCUUCAAGAAGCUGUUCUGUUAAGAGCAAGUGUAAGGAAGCUUUGACUCCUGAUUAAAUAUUUAUGUGGGUCUGGCUGUUAGGUCAUGUUCUAUAAUAGCUUUUAUAACUUGGUUAUUAAAUUGCAAUUCAAC
rnacentral:lncRNA from 7 species